rnacentral:rRNA from 1 species
AAGUCGUAACAAGGUCUCCGUUGGUGAACCAGCGAGGGAUCAUUACUGAGUACUACACUCUCUACCCUUUGUGAACUAUUAUACCUGUUGCUUCGGCGGCGCCCGCAAGGGUGCCCGCCGGUCUCAUCAGAAUCUCUGUUUUCGAACCCGACGAUACUUCUGAGUGUUCUUAGCGAACUGUCAAAAACUUUUAACAACGGAUCUCUUGGCUCCAGCAUCGAUGAAGAGCGCAGCGAAACGCGAUAUGUAAUGUGAAUUGCAGAAUUCAGUGAAUCAUCGAAUCUUUGAACGCACAUGGCGCCUUCCAGUAUCCUGGGAGGCAUACCUGUCCGAGCGUCGUUUCAACCCUCGAGCCCCUGUGGCCCGGCGUUGGGAUCUGCCACGGCAGGCCCCUAAAACCAGUGGCGGACCCGAAGGGCCUUCUCCUUUGCGCAGUAGCAUUCGCCUCGCAUCGGGAGUCCUCGGCGUCCUGCCUCUAAACCCCCCACAAGCCCGCUUCGGCGGCACCAAGGUUGACCUCGGAUCAGGUAGGAAUACCCGCUGAACUUAA